ACAGGAAGUAGUACACAUACAGGAAGUACUGCAGUUCCGUUCUCACCCUGCAGAGCGUCAGCGUCAUCUGUCUGCAGCGCCGACAGCGAACACGGAGUUUUCCUGACUGGAUGGAUGAGCAGCGCUUACAGUACACGAAGAAGGACGGCGGUCUGCACUGCGGCGGCGGCGGCCAGCCUGGAGGAGCUCAGGUCCAGCCGGGUCAGCCUUGUUACGCUGGCAGCCAGGUGUUCCUGCGGCUGCGGCAGGUGGAGGGAGCCUGGAGGAGGGAGCACCACGUGGACCGUGCUCUGCUCUGGGAGGUCACAGGCCUGACAGGAGGACAGCAGGUGAGGAGGACAGCAGGUGAGGAGGACAGCAGGUAAGCGCUACCUGCACAUGGGAGUGGGAGCUCACCUGGAGGGAGGCGGAGCUCUGCAGCUCCCUGCCGGCGAACAGAACCCGGAGCUCCUGGGCAGGAACUCCCUGCUGGCUCGCCACGAUCUCCUUCAGCUCCGCCACGCGGGCCGCCGCGCUCAGCUCCAUGGCAACGCCGGGGCCGCGGUUGAACCGCACAAACACUGCAGCACAGGUGAGGCUCUAACUUCACACUGAAGCAGAUUUCAUGGUUUUACUUGUGACGGCCUGUUGGGUUCAUAUAGCUCUAGUCGGUCUCAGGCAGGACCAGAACCAGAACCAGGUGAGGGCGUUCAGCCGGAUCAGAACCUGGUUCUGGUUCUGAUCCGGAUGGCUUCAGUUCAUUCUGAUGUUUCUUUGUGUUUUUAAUGUAUUUGUUGUUUGAACUUUGAUGAAUGAUUGGUUCUCUGGUAGCCCCGCCCCCUGACACACCUGGACCGGCAGGUUCUGCUUUAAGAACUACAACAGGAAGACAUUUCAAUAUUCGCUCAGCUCCACCUGCUCUGUGUUCUGAUUGGCUGGUUCCUUCCUGGAGGCGGCUGACAUGAUGCUGCCAUCACCUAAUCGCUCUCCCUCUCCUGCUGUUUCUACUUUCAUGAACAUCA